rnacentral:rRNA from 1 species
AUGGACAACUGCGCCGAUCAGAGCCUUGCGCAGAGGAGCAUUGGAUUCUUCAGGGUGCCUGGUCUCUUUGUGCGGCUGAGCAGCAAAGGCCUGAACGCAGUGGACCCUGAUUCAGUCUGGAGCCCAACCUCUCCUCUGGAUUUCAAGAACCUGCCGUCGUCAAACACUCUGGGCACCAAUCUCAAGCCCACUGGAUUGCUAGGCAUCGAGGCUGAUCUUCUGAAGCUCAGAACCGGCUCCCCGAGAGUCGGUCUCGGCCUUGUCGAUGCCCUCACCGCCGACGAGGGCUCGUUGCACUUUGGCGGCAAGAACUCGUUCCUUGAAUCCAUCAAGCCAUUUCUCGAGCUUGGGCUGCCAAAGGUGGCUGCCGAUGAUGCAUCGUCGUGUCAGAAGACCGGUUCGGUUGGCCUUGGCGCCGCCAUGAAGGAGAACACAGGCUUCGUUCAAUGUGAUUGUGAAGAUGAAGAGUACACCUGCGUGAUCGAGCACGGCCCGAACCCGAGGACGACGCACAUCCUGAAAGGCCAGACGGUGGAGGUGCCCAACGGCGUGCGUUCCAAGAGGCCGAUUUUCACCAUCGAGCCCAUCGAGGAGCCGUCAUGGCCGUCGAUGCCGGCUGCUGGUGCCGCCGCUUCUGGUUCGUGCUCCCACUGCAGGAAGCGGCUGCGAGAGGACAUGGAUACCUUCAUGUAUCUGGGCGAGUUGUUCUGCAGCAACGAGUGCAGGAAGUGCUGCAUGGAGGAGGAGAUAGACGAGGUGGAGGUGGAGCUCAUGGUGCUGGAUUCCGGCGGCUCCUCUGCUGAUCUGCAUUGGUGA